CUAUAGGGGAUUUAAGAGGCUCGAUUAUAUAGGAUAUAUUAUUAUGACGCUUAUAGUAAUAAUGAAAUUAAUAAGCUUACUAGGGAAGGGAUUGUUAGUUAUCAACUUUUUCUAGGAAUCUAAUUAACUAACUAAACUUGUAGAAGCUUAUAACGAAGUAUUUUCGGACAGGAGUUCGAUUCUCCUCAGCUCCACCA
rnacentral:tmRNA from 1 species